UGGGGAAUUUUGCACAAUGGGGGAAACCCUGAUGCAGCGACGCCGCGUGAUUUAGAAGGCCUUCGGGUUGUAAAAAUCUUUUUUACGGGAUGAAAAUGACAGUACCGUAAGAAUAAGGUCCGGCUAAAUACGUGCCAGCAGCCGCGGUAAUACGUAUGGACCGAGCGUUGUCCGGAAUCAUUGGGCGUAAAGGGUACGAAGGCGGCCUAGUAAGUUAGAAGUGAAAUAAUAUAGCUCAACUAUAUAAAGCUUUUAAAACUGCUAGGCUUGAGAGAUGGAAGGGAAAGUGGAAUUCCUAGUGUAGCGGUGAAAUGCGCAGAUAUUAGGAAGAAUACCGGUGGCGAAGGCGACUUUCUGGUCAUCAUCUGACGCUGAGGUACGAAAGCGUGGGUAGCAAACAGG
rnacentral:rRNA from 1 species